UACGUAGGGGCCGAGCGUUGUCCGGAGUUACUGGGCGUAAAGCGCGCGCAGGUGGCUCAUUACGCCCGGCGUGAAAGCCCCCGGCCUAACCGGGGAGGGUCGUCGGGGACGGGUGAGCUUGAGGGUAUCAGGGGCUGGUGGAAUUCCCGGUGUAGUGGUGAAAUGCGUAGAGAUCGGGAGGAACACCCGUGGCGAAGGCGGCCAGCUGGGAUACACCUGACACUGAGGCGCGAAGGCGUGGGGAGCGAACGGGAUUAGAUACCCUGGUAGUCCCUGAGCGGGCUGGCAAGG
rnacentral:rRNA from 1 species